rnacentral:misc_RNA from 1 species
UCCGGUUUGUCACCGGCAGUCCCAUUAGAGUGAUCAACUGAAUGUAGCAACUAAUGGCAAGGGUUGCGCUCGUUGCGGGACUUAACCCAACAUCUCACGACACGAGCUGACGACAGCCAUGCAGCACCUGUGUUCAGGCUCCCUUUCGGGCACUCCUCCAUCUCUGCGAGCUUCCUAGCAUGUCAAGGGUAGGUAAGGUUUUUCGCGUUGCAUCGAAUUAAUCCACAUAAUCCACCGCUUGCGCGGGUCCCCGUCAAUUCCUUUGAGUUUUAGCCUUGCGGCCGUACUCCCCAGGCGGGGCGCUUAAUGCGUUAGCUGCGGCACGGAGGACGUGGAAUGUCCCCCACACCUAGCGCCCAACGUUUACGGCGUGGACUAC